CCAAGGUAAAAACAUGACAUCAACCAAAUACUAACACCUCAGUGUUGUAACACUGGGAGAAAGUUUGGGGAAAUGCUCCAUAAAUCCCAGGGAGCUAAUAAUUUGGUCUUCAACUGUAGAAGGUGAAAACAUCAUGUAAGAAGACACAUCACCAUCCAUCACUGCGGACAAACUGAGAGGGUCUUUCGGUGGUGAUCCAGCUGUCAGCAGGGAGCCAAGGGUGCAGAAGAAUGGGGCUUGAAAUCACAGAUGGAGGAAUUUUCUGGAUGACCUAGAGAAACAGAUAAGAUUGGGGAAAAAACACAGGAG